GGGAAACCUCGAUUAAUACCGCAUACGUCCUACGGGAGAAAGCAGGGGAUCUUCGGACCUUGCGCUACUGGAUGAGCCUAAGUCGGAUUAGCUAGUUGGUGGGGUAAAGGCCUACCAAGGCGACGAUCCGUAGCUGGUCUGAGAGGAUGAUCAGCCACAUCGGGACUGAGACACGGCCCGAACUCCUACGGGAGGCAGCAGUGGGGAAUAUUGGACAAUGGGGGCAACCCUGAUCCAGCCAUGCCGCGUGUGUGAAGAAGGCUUUCGGGUUGUAAAGCACUUUCAGCGAGGAGGAAGGCCUUAAAGUUAAUACCUUUGAGGAUUGACGUUACUCGCAAAAGAAGCACCGGCUAACUCCGUGCCAGCAGCCGCGGUAAUACGGAGGGUGCAAGCGUUAAUCGGAAUUACUGGGCGUAAAGCGCGCGUAGGUGGUUAGGUAAGCGAGAUGUGAAAGCCCCGGGCUUAACCUGGGAACGGCAUUUCGAACUGUCUGACUAGAGUGUGGUAGAGGGUAGUGGAAUUUCCUGUGUAGCGGUGAAAUGCGUAAAUAUAGGAAGGAACACCCGUGGCGAAGGCGGCUACCUGGACCAACACUGACACUGAGGUGCGAAAGCGUGGGGGAGCAAACAGGAUUAAAUACCCUGGUAGUCCCACGCCGUAAAAGAUGUCAACUAGCCGUUGGGACUCUUGAAGUUUUAGUGGCGCAGCUAACGCACUAAGUUGACCGCCUGGGGAGUACGGCCGCAAGGUUAAAACUCAAAUGAAUUGACGGGGGCCCGCACAAGCGGUGGAGCAUGUGGUUUAAUUCGACGCAACGCGAAGAACCUUACCUGGCCUUGACAUCCAGAGAACUUUCCAGAGAUGGAUUGGUGCCUUCGGGAACUCUGAGACAGGUGCUGCAUGGCCGUCGUCAGCUCGUGUCGUGAGAUGUUGGGUUAAGUCCCGUAACGAGCGCAACCCCUAUCCCUGGUUGCUAGCAGGUAAUGCUGAGAACUCCAGGGAGACUGCCGGUGACAAACCGGAGGAAGGUGGGGAUGACGUCAGGUCAUCAUGGCCCUUACGGCCAGGGCUACACACGUGCUACAAUGGCGCGUACAGAGGGCUGCCAACUCGCGAGAGUGCGCCAAUCCCUUAAAACGCGUCGUAGUCCGGAUCGGA
rnacentral:rRNA from 1 species